rnacentral:rRNA from 1 species
UAGCCGUAAACGAUACUCGCUAGGUGUCGGCCACGGUGCGACCGUUGUCGGUGCCGUAGGGAAGCCGUGAAGCGAGCCACCUGGGAAGUACGGCCGCAAGGCUGAAACUUAAAGGAAUUGGCGGGGGAGCACAACAACGGGUGGAGCUUGUGGUUUAAUUGGAUUCAACGCCGGAAAUCUUACCGGGACCGACAGCAACAUGAAGGCCAAGCUGAAGACUUUGCCGGAUUAGCUGAGAGGAGGUGCAUGGCGUAGUCGUGU